UACAGAGGUCUCAAGCGUUUGUUCGGAUUCAUUGGGCGUAAAGGGUGCGUAGGCGGCGCGGUAAGUCGGGUGUGAAAUCUCGGAGCUUAACUCCGAAACUGCAUUCGAUACUGCGGUGCUUGAGGACUGGAGAGGAGACUGGAAUUCAUGGUGUAGCAGUGAAAUGCGUAGAGAUCAUGAGGAAGACCAGUGGCGAAGGCGGGUCUCUGGACAGUUCCUGACACUGAGGCACGAAGGCCAGGGGAGCAAAACGGGG
rnacentral:rRNA from 1 species